rnacentral:rRNA from 1 species
AUGUCAUUCCACGGCGGCAGCAGCUCCGGCACCGGCGGCGACGACGGACCCAGCGCGUGGCCGUCGAGCCUGAGCAUGCCGGAGACGGAGGAGCUUUACCGGUUUGGGCUCCUCGUGGCGGCGGCGAUUCCGCCAGUGGUCCCACAGGCGGAGGCGGAGGCGUCGGAGUCGUCGGACGACGACGUCAUCGACUGGGAGCGUUAG